rnacentral:lncRNA from 1 species
AUCAUUGUACUUUCUCAUGAGUUAAACUUUUUAUCAUUAUGAUAAUGCUUUUUGCCUUAAAGUCUACUUUGUCUAAUAUUAAUAUAGAUAACAUUAAUUUUUGUUAAUAUUUAUAUUUUUCCACUCUUUAAUUUCAACAUUAUAAUACAAAUGUUUUAGGUAUGUUUCUUAUAAACAGUAUGCAGAUUGUUAUCCAAUUCAAUCUUUGAUUUUUAAUUGAACUAUUUAAUUUAUUUACAUUUAAUGUAAUUACUGAUAUAUUUGAAUUUAAAUAUACCGUCUUCUUAAGUGUUUUCAAUUGUCUCACAUGCUCUCUGUUCUCUUUAUCCUCACUUUUUGCCUGCUUUUGGAAAAUAUUGUUUUUGCCUCCAUUGUUUUGGAAGUUACAUAUCUUUUUAGUAGUCUUUUAGAGUUUAUCCUAUAGAUCACAGUAUGGGUCUCUGAGUUAGCAAAGGCUAAUAAUGUUAAUUGGCACUUUCAUUUUCUUCCAUAAUAGUACAAGGACCUUAGAACGUUUCAAUUCAUUUACUUCCUCUCCUGAUUUGUAUGCACUUUUAAUAUUUUUAAUUUUUUAAAUCUUCAGCACUGUGUUACAUUGUUUCAUAUGGUAUAAUUCAUUUAGACUUCCUCAAAUGGACCUUCGUGCUGGACCUCAUUUCUUUCUGCAUCUAUAUAACCUAUCAUCCUUAAUCAUCUUCCUUCUGCUUAAAGAACAUCCUUUAGUAUUUGAUGCUGGUAAAGAAUCCUGAAAAUGUCUUAAUUUCACUUUUAUUAUUGAAGGCUAUUUUCACUGGACAUAGAAUUCUAGUGUUGACAGUUAUUUUUAUUUCAGCACUUGAAAGACAUUUAAAUUCCACUAAUUUCUAGUUUCCAUUGUUUCUAUCAAGAGGUAAGCUAACAGUCUAUUACAUUUUUUCAAGUAAUGACAGCUGCUUGUGAUUUUUUUUUCCCUUUGUCUUUGGUUUUCAUCUGUCUUAUUGUGAUGUACCUAGGUGUGGCUUUUAAAAAUUUCUCCUGCUUGCAGCUCCCAGGGCUUCUGAGAUUUGUGGCUUGUUGUCUUUAAUCAAUUUUGGGAAUUUUUCAACUAUUUUCUCUUCAAAUAUUGAUGCUGCACCAUUCUCUUUCUCUUCUCCUUCUGAAAUUUUAAUUCUCAUUUUAUCUCCAUAUCUCUUACUCUCUGUAGCAUUGCUAUCCUUUUGUCUCUCCAUGUUUCGUCAUGAUGUUGUCUUCUAACCUACUUUCCAGUUCAUCAAUUUUCCCUACAGCUGUGUAUAAUUUUUUGUUAAACCAAGUAAAGAGUAUCCACUGAGCUCUUUGCUUUUGUUAGUAUAUAUUUUAAAUUCUAAAUUGUUCACUGGUUAUUUUUUACAUCUUUUUCAUCCUUUUUUAAAGUUUUCAGUUCUCUGCCAAAUUUGUUGAUACUGUCUUUUAUCUCCAUAUGUGUAGUAAACAUAAUUAAUUUAAAGUCUGUAUCUGAUAAAUCCAUUAACUGGAGUUCUGUGGGAUUGUUUCUAUUGUAGUUGUUUUUACUGGAUCUCAUGUUUUCUUAUUUCUUUAUGGGCCUGGUUAUUCUCUUGUGUGCUAAAAUUGUAUAUGAAAAAUUGUUGGUUGAAGUAAUGUAAAACUUAUUGUGUUAUAUUC